GUCUGGAUGAGGGGACCAAGAUGCAGCGUGGUCUCCCUGUCAGACUGUGCCGGUCCCUGUCACCACAAACAAAGACAAAGGUUGAAAUACCAGCCAGCGACAAGGUCCAUUCUCAAGACUGUAAAUGUCAACAUUAUGCAAAUCACUUCCAUUCCACGCAAACAAGCCUGAACCAAUCAAUGUCAAUCCCCUUUCUCCCAGCCAAUCAAUGUCAUUCCCUCUUCAGUGAGCCCAGGCCUAAUCGAAAAGCAUUGUUCUUUCAGCUCUGAAUGCCAACUCACUGAGACUGUCGUCUGUAACUUUUUCUCAACCCAUCUCUAACCUUCAGAAGUCAUCUACACAGAGCAGAGAGGAGUUCACAGUGGAUAGGAUAUAAAAGUCAUGGAGAUGAGAGAAGACAGCAGGAGAGAAGGCAGGAGAGAAGACAGCAGGAGAAGACAGGAGAGAAGACAGCAAUAGAAGGCAGGAGAGAAGACAGCAGGAGAAGACAGGAGAGAAGACAGCAAUAGAAGGCAGGAGAGAAGACAGCAGAAGAGACAGGAGAGAAGACAGCAACAGAAGACAGAAGAGAAGAUAGCAGGAGAGGACAGGAGAGAGGAUGGCAGGAGAGGACAGAAGAGAAGACAGCAGGAGAGUGUAGAAGAGAAGACAGCAGGAGAGAACAGGAGAGAAGACUUAAAUAGAAGACAGGAGAGGACAGGAGAGAAGACAACAGGAGAGUGCAGAAGAGAAGACAGCAGGAGAAGACAGGAGAAAAUAAAAAAAUAGAGGACAGGAGAGAAGACAGAAAUAGAGAACAGGAGAGAAGACAGCAGGAGAGGACAGAAGAGAAGACAGCAGGAGAGUGCAGAAGAGAAGAAAGCAGUAGAGAACAGGAGAGAAGACUUAAAUAGAAGACGGGAGAGAAGACAGCAGGAGAGGACAGAAGAGAAGACAGCAGGAGAGGACAGGAGAGAAGACAACAGGAGAGUGCAGAAGAGAAGACAGCAGGAGAGGACAGAAGAGAAGACAGCAGGAGAGUGCAGAAGAGAAGAAAGCAGGAGAGAACAGACUUAAAUAGAAGACAGGAGAGAAGACAACAGGAGAGUGCAGAAGAGAAGACAGCAGGAGAGGACAGAAGAGAAGACAACAGGAGAGGACAGAAGAGAAGACAGCAGGAGAGUACAGGAGAGAAGACAGCAGGAGUGGACAGGAGAGAAGACAGCAGGAGAGGACAGGAGAGAAGACAGAAAUAGAGAACAGGAGAGAAGACAGCAGGAGAGGACAGAAUAGAAGACAGCAGGAGAGUGUAGAAGAGAAGACAGCAGGAGAAGACAGGAGAAAAUAAAAAAAUAGAGGACAGGAGAGAAGACAGCAGGAGAGGACAGGAGAGAAGACAACAGGAGAGGACAGAAUAGAAGACAGCAGGAGAGUGCAGAAGAGAAGAAAUCAGGAGAGAACAGGAGAGAAGACUUAAAUAGAAGACAGGAGAGAAGACAGCAGGAGAGGACAGAAGAGAAGACAGCAGGAGAGGACAGGAGAGAAGACAACAGGAGAGUGCAGAAGAGAAGACAGCAGGAGAGGACAGAAGAGAAGACAGCAGGAGAGUACAGAAGAUAAGACAGCAGGAGGGGACAGAAAAGAAGACAGCAGGAGAGUGCAGAAGAGAAGAAAGCAGGAGAGAACAGGAGAGAAGACUUAAAUAGAAGACAGGAGAGAAGACAGCAGGAGAGGACAGGACUGUGACUGUCCUUUUAUUGUGAUGGAUGUUUGGAUAGUCCUCACUUUUACUGUCGAAAUCUCAAGAAUGACGAAAACUGUCUGUCGUUCUGUUUUGUCUGUUUCUGUCUGUCUGUCCGCCUGUUUAUCUGUUUGUCCCCCCGUCCAUCUGUAUGUCUGUCUGAUGCCACUAAGUCUCUGUUAAAGCUUUGUUAAUUGGCUCUGAAUGUGGCUUUUAUGAUUAAUGAAACCUCAAGUGUUAUCAGUCCAGCCAUCAUGUCCAACAAUGAAUCACCUUCACACUCACCAUGGACGCAAGACAGAGGAGGAGAGAGGAAGAAGAGACAUAGAUGGGAGAGGGAGACAGAGAGAGGUUAAGUGAAAAAGUGAGGUAAACAUAACGUGAUAGACUGAAUGAAAAAGAGACAGAGAGAGACAGAGAGAGACAGAGAGAGACAGAGAGACGGAGAGAGAGAGAGAGAGAGAGAGAGAGAGAGACAGAGAGAGAGAGACAGAGAGAGAGAGACAGAGAGAGAGAGACAGAGAGAGAGAGACGGAGAGAGACAGACAUUGGGAGAGUGUAAAAGGAGAGAGGGAACAUGAUAGAACAAAAAAGCAAUUCCCUCCGUCCAUGAUGAAUGCUACUAGAUAAGGCUUUCCCCAGAUAGUUUCUCUAACUUGGCCUGUCUCUAACCUGGCCCGUCUCUAACAUGGCCCGCCUCAACCUGGCAUGUCUGUAACCCAGCCUGUCUGUAACCCGGCCUGUCUCGAACAUGGCCUGUCUCUAACAUGGCCUGUCUCUAACCCAGCCUGUCUCUAACCCGACCUGUCUCUAACCCGGCCUGUCUCUAACCCGACCUGUCUCUAACCCGGCCUGUCUCGAACAUGGCCUGUCUCUAACCUGGC
rnacentral:lncRNA from 1 species